GUUUGAACCCACCACCUCUGGCAUAUGGGACCAGUGCCCUACUCCUUGAGCCACAGGCGCCGCCCCAUUCUUGAGAUACUUUACUAAGAAGAAUAUGUUCCAGCUCCAUCCGUGUAAACAUCAAAGAGGAAGUCCCAGCUCCAUGACUGCGCAGGCCAGUCUGAAUGUCACCCCUGCCACUUGCUCAUCACCAAUGCUGUUUCCUCUUUGAGCCGAAGUUCUCCCUGCCUUGAUGUCUGCUUUCAUGAAGGAGGAAGCUGCAGUUACCAAUGAGAGCUAAGUGAUUGUUCACCAAAGAAGGAUGAAGAAACAAGAGGCCAUGUCUCUCCUCCAGACCUAGAGAGAAUAUGAAAGUUGUUGGAGCGCCUGCCACCUGAUGACUGGGUUUCCUUCAUACCUUCUCAUGGCUGGGCGACUGGGGGUGAACCAGCCUGGGUCUGGUUCCCUGUCCACAGACAACAGCUUGAAUCAGUGGAUCUUAUGGAUCAAGAGACAGAGUAUUCUGAUGUCACCCAGCCUGGAGUGCAGUGGCUAUUCACAGGCACCACUAUAAUGCACUAGAGGUUGGAACUGCUGGGCUCAAGUGAUUCUCCUGCCUCAGUCUCUUGAGUAGCUGAGACUACAGAUUUGAUUCUACAGAUAGCAAAGGGACACUCUCCAAUCCUGCUGGCAAGUCAUCAAGUGUAGACUUCCCUGGAAGACGAUGACAUCCUUCGGCAGCUCCAGGCAACCCUAAAAGUGUCAACAAUGAGAGAGGAUCAGAGCACACAUCUGCAUCGCCACUGGAUUCCAGUGACCUGGAAUUCAAAUGAACAUUACUUCUGGAAGCAUAUGAAGUCUGCCCCUGCAGGGUACCCCGUGGCUUACUGUAAACACGUCAGUGCCCAGCUGUGUCACCUCACACAAGUUAUUUCGCUUUUUCGGGCUCCAGUUUCCUCAUCUAUAAUGCUGCCAAAAUGAGUAAAGAUCAGAGGAAAGGAAAUGCCUAGAAUCAAUUCAACAGUCCCCUAACAUGCCGUGUGUAAGUUUUCUGGAGAAGAUUCAUUUCCCGUGGCAGUCCUGGAGGGUGUCCCUGACUGGGGGCACAUUAAACUGUCUCUCUGCAUGUGAGUGUCUCUGUGGACCUUCAUCUAUUCAUCCUCGUCAUUCAGCACCCAGAAUAAUGCUGCCUCUUCCUGUGUGCUCAAUCUUUGAGAAUGAAGGAAAGAAGAAAGAAGAUGAGACUUGUAGGUCUCAGGACCUAUUAAAGCCUUUGUAACACUGCUGGAGAAAACCAUGUUUUCACUAUGACAUAGUGAAUGUUCUUCCCUACAAUUCACCUAUUAUUCAGAAGGCGCUGGCUUCUAGGACUUCUUCAUACAAAUGUGGACUAUCUUGGCAAAUUUUUUGAAUUCCAUCCAGUUUUUGCCAACGUAAUAGGUGAUUCAGUGGAAUUCUGUGGAUGUUUUUCCAUUUGACAGAGAUAUGGUAAGCCCUGGUUUGCACUAUAAUAUGUUGCCUUCUCACUGGUUUGAAUAAAUCCAGAAUUAGAGCCAUCACGACUUUAUGCUUGACCAGUAAAUGUUGGGAAGUUAUUUUUGAGUCCUGCAGAUUGUACCUCUCUUGAGCUAGACUAGUACUAAAGUUAGGGUCAGAAUGAUUUGAAGAUGGUUUUAUCAUUUACUAUGUCAAAAAUAAAAAUAGUAGUAAUAAUUUAUUACUAUUUACUCAUGUUCGUUCAUAAAAGCAUUAUUCACAAUAGCCAAAAAUGAAAGCAACCCAAAUGCUCUCAAUGGAUGGAUGAACAAAAUGUGGCAUGUCUAUGCAAUGGAAUAUUAUGAAGCCUUAAAAAGGAAAACUAUUCUGACUCAUGCUUUGACAUGGGUGAAACUUAAGAACAUUAUACUAAGUGAAAUAAACCAGUCAUAGACAAAUAUUAUAUGAUUCCAUUUAUGAGGUAUAUAGGGCAGUCAAAUUCAUAGAAGGCAGAAUGGUGGUUGCCAGGGUCUGGGAGAGAGGAGUUACUGCAAGAGGUUGUGGAAUUACUGUUUAGGGUUCAGAAUUUCAGUUGUAUGAGAUGGAAAGAGUUCUGGAGAUGGGUGGUGGUAAUGGUUGCCAAAUAAUGUGAAUGUACUUAACAUGACCAAACUGAAAACUGGUAAAGAUGAUAAAUCUUACAUUAUUUAUAUUUUACCAUGAUUAAAAAUAAAGAAAUUAAGAGAAAAUAAAUAGGAACAACUUUAACAAUGAUUAUUAUUUAUUAUGUCCUUACUAUGUGCCAGACAUUUUUGUGAACAUCUUUGAAACAAUCUUUUGAGUUAAAUACUUCUCUGAGCCCAAAAUCAGGGUGGGCCCUGGAGGAACAAAGCUGGUAAAGUAAGUUGGCCAAAGUCAUACAGCUCCCGAGGGGGGCAGCUUGAAGUUCAAGUUCACUUGACACCAGAAUACCUAUCUGGUUUAACCAGUAAAGAAGGAUUUCAAAAAAACAGGGCAGGGACCAUAGUGGAGAAAGGGAGGUACUUGCCUUGGGCACAACAUGUAAGGGGGCACCAGAAAACUUAGUUAUCAAGACAAAUAAUAGAGUCAUACAAUCAUGCAAUGUUUUUUAAAAAAUAAAAAAUUGUACAAAAGUCCAUGAUGAGCAAUAUAUCAAAAUUGUAAAUACAGACAAGAUGUGAUAGGAAGGGGAUCUGGGCAAGUGCGAGGUGGAUUCUAUAAAGAAUCACUUAUUGUUAUUGGGAUCAUGUCACUAACAGUAAUAAUAAAGUAAUAAUUCCCAACCGUUUCAUGGUGAUGAGAUAAUUGUAGUGUUUAAAAUGUGUAGUAAGUAGCAAAAGGAUGAAGAAGAGCUGCGUAAACUCAUGGAAAGAAGAAGAGAAGUUUAAGCUCAACAAUAUGAAACAAUGAAGAAAAGAGCCAGAGCUUUGUAAUGACUUGGCAUUGCAUCCAGAGGGCUUAAUUUCAAGAGAUAUUUAUCCCAAUA